UACGUAGGGUGCGAGCGUUAAUCGGAAUUACUGGGCGUAAAGCGCGCGCAGGCGGCUAUCCAAGUCAGUGGUGAAAGCCCGGAGCUCAACUCCGGAACUGCCAUUGAAACUGUUUAGCUUGAGGAUGAGAGAGGUGAGUGGAAUUCCCAGUGUAGAGGUGAAAUUCGUAGAUAUUGGGAAGAACACCGGUGGCGAAGGCGGCUUUCUGGGACGGUACUGACGCUGAGACGCGAAAGCGUGGGGAGCGAACAGG
rnacentral:rRNA from 1 species